rnacentral:misc_RNA from 1 species
GAUGAAGAACGCAGCAAAAUGCGAUAAGUAAUGUGAAUUGCAGAAUUCAGUGAAUCAUCGAAACUUUGAACGCACAUUGCGCCCGCUGGUAUUCCGGCGGGCAUGCCUGUUCGAGCGUCAUUUCAACCCUCAAGCCCCCGGGUUUGGUGUUGGGGAUCGGCUCUGCCCUUCUGGGCGGUGCCGCCCCCGAAAUACAUUGGCGGUCUCGCUGCAGCCUCCAUUGCGUAGUAGCUAACACCUCGCAACUGGAACGCGGCGCGGCCAUGCCGUAAAACCCCAACUUCUGAAUGUUGACCUCGGAUCAGGUAGGAAUACCCGCUGAACUUAAGCAUAUCAAUAAGCGGAGGA